GUAGGCGUUGCACAGCGUGAGCACGUCUGCAUGUUACUCCUCUGCGACUGUUAGUGGGUCCGCAUGUGACUGCCUCCGCUGGGUCCCAGCGGGGGGGCUGCGGGUGGCCCCGCCCACCCCAGGCCGGUUCCAGACAAUCAGGUGCUAAUGUGCGGGAACAGGAGAGGGCUGCGCUGACAGAUGGCCGGCUGACCUGGAAAACCUGCCCCCCUUUUCAGGGUUCAGCAGUCGGCAGAUGACAGAUGGUUGAAACACCUCCACCAGCCAGACCCUCUCUGGGGAAUGGACAACCCCCACCCAUCCCCUCACCUUCUCCAGCUACAAAGGUUCCUGAAACACAGACACCACCACAACCAAGAAGCUUCUGGAUGAUCUCACUCUCCAUCUCAACAGUGAACUCCCAAGGGUGCUUCCUGUCGUUUUGGGUGAACCACAAACAUAUUCAAGGGAAAGAGGAAACCUCCGUCAUGUCAGCUCCGUGACAUCGAAGCGACCGCGCCACCGCAGCACACUGCCGGUGACGGACGCCUUUUUGUCUUGUGCAGUCAGGCCGGAGCGCCUGGCCCGCGGACGGCUGUAAUCGCACCGACAGGUGACACAUCUGUGGAAACCAGAAGAUGAUGGGGGGAGACUGCUUAGAUCCUGUGACCUGCACCACACAUGCCGCCUCCAUCUACUGUGAGUCCCGACUGCCCUGCCGGCGACUGAACUCUCGG